UUUCUAUUUCUCUUUUGCUUUCAAUGUUAGUUUUGAUUUCAUUUGGGUUAGAUUUGAGUACGAUUGUGACUCUGAGUCUGAUUCUCUAUUCCCGAAUUCCCUAGUUCUCUAGGUUUGAUUUGAUAAAUAAAGGCUUUAAGCAAAACUUUGUGUCCUUAAGCAGCUAGGUUUUCUUUUGGUACUCAGGCAGAGCUUGAUUUUAGGUUCAAUUUUGAUUUCAGUUCUGAUUAUUGCAUUUUUUUUUUAUGUACUGCUUGUGUGAAUUUCAGUUUGCAGUGGACAUGUUCUGAUAUAAACAAUGCAUGUCCUGAUUAGACUGUUAUAUAUUGUGUUGAAUUUCACAAUCCAUUGAUUUUCUGACCAAUUUUGUUUGCUUUAGGCUAGUUUCAUUCAUCUACCUGUAAUGCAGUUGACCAUGAAUUUAAACAGCUUGGAAAUGUGGUCCUUUGAACUGAUUGUUCUUCUAUCUGGUCUUCUUCCAAACCCAAAGUUGGAAACCUCAGUGCUACAUUAUCAUCCCCUCGCCAAUACAGUUGAGGGUCUGGGUAAUUAUGUUUCGAUCUAUUCUACAUUUGCAGAAUGCUGCAUUCGUCUUGGUUCCUGGCGGAUUUGGAGAUCGUGGUGUGAAAGGUAUGAUAUUAGCUGCAAAGUAUGCCAGAUAGAACAAUGUUCCUUAUCUUGGGAUUUGUUUGGGCAUGCAGAUUUCCGUGAUUGAGUUCGCAAGAUCCGUUUUGAGUUUAGAAAGGGCGGACAGCACAGAGUUCGAUGAACAUACACCAAAUCCUGUUGUAGUUUUUAUGCAUAAGAGUUCAAGAACACAUAUGGGAAGCACAGUGAGACUGGGAUCCAGAAGAAUACUUUUCCAGACUCCUGAUUGCAUUACUUGAAAGCUGUACCAUAACUUGGGAGUAUGUGGAUGAACGGCAUCGGCAUAGAUAUGAGGUUGGUUGUAAUUUAGUUCAGGUGAAACAUGAUCUUUCACAAGUGCCUUUAUGUGGUGGACAUGGACUGAUUCCGUCAUGAUGAAGUUGAACCCGGAUGUUAUUGGAAUUCUUGAAGAAGCGGGCCUAAAAUUUGUAGGGAAGGAUGACAGUGGAAGACGAAUGGAGAUUUUAGAGCUUCCAAGCCAUCCAUUCUAUGUAGGAGUGCAAUUUCAUCCAGAAUUUAAAUCACGGCCUGGGAAGCCCUCAGCUCUCUUUUUAGGUCUUAUCUUGGCAGCAACAGGGCAGUUGGAAACAUAUCUUGACCAGCAUCCAAAUACAAGUUGACAGCAUUGAGUCACUGUCUCAAUAUUCCCAGAUAAUUUUUUCAAGUGCACUAGUAAAAAGAUUGCUAUAGCAGUUAUCCUCGACUUCAUCAUCAAUGAGGUCUGAUGGAUAAAGGGCAGAAGACAAUCUACCAGUGAUGAAUCUUAUGUUAUUUGUUUUUGUGAAGCACCUGACAUUUAGGUUGAACUUAAACAUGUAGCAUUUUGUUUUUGAGACAUCUUGUGAAUUUGUUGGAAGAAUGUUAGAUAUAUGGACUGCUUUUGAAUGCAAUGAAUUAUUCGAUGCUAUAAAUUUUAUCUACAGCACUGUUUAAAAGAAAUUAAUUGUGAUUUCAUAUUGUAAUACAAUAAAUAGAGAACAUGGAGAGGUAAA